AUUGAACGCUGGCGGCAGGCCUAACACAUGCAAGUCGAGCGGAGCGGCGGACGGGGGAGUAAUGCCUAGGAAUCUGCCCGGGAGUGGGGGAUAACGACCGGAAACGGGCGCUAAUACCGCAUACUAUCAGAUGAGCCUAGGUCGGAUUAGCUAGUGGGAGGGGUAAAGGCCUACCUAGGCGACGAUCCGUAACUGGUCUGAGAGGAUGAUCAGUCACACUGGAACUGAGACACGGUCCAGACUCCUACGGGAGGCAGCAGUGGGGAAUAUUGGACAAUGGGCGAAAGCCUGAUGCAGCCAUGCCGCGUGUAUGAAGAAGGUCUUCGGAUUGUAAAGCACUUUAAGUUGGGAGGCGUUACCAACAGAAUAAGCACCGGCUAACUUCGUGCCAGCAGCCGCGGUAAUUC
rnacentral:rRNA from 1 species